rnacentral:rRNA from 1 species
GAUGAACGCUGGCGGCGUGGAUAAGGCAUGCAAGUCGAGCGAUUCUCUUCGGAGAAGAGCGGCGGACGGGUGAGUAACGCGUGGGUAACCUGCCCUGUACACACGGAUAACAUACCGAAAGGUAUGCUAAUACGGGAUAAUAUGCUUUAGUCGCAUGGCUAAAGUAUCAAAGCUCCGGCGGUACAGGAUGGACCCGCGUCUGAUUAGCUAGUUGGUAAGGUAACGGCUUACCAAGGCGACGAUCAGUAGCCGACCUGAGAGGGUGAUCGGCCACAUUGGAACUGAGACACGGUCCAAACUCCUACGGGAGGCAGCAGUGGGGAAUAUUGCACAAUGGGCGAAAGCCUGAUGCAGCAACGCCGCGUGAGCGAUGAAGGCCUUCGGGUCGUAAAGCUCUGUCCUCAAGGAAGAUAAUGACGGUACUUGAGGAGGAAGCCCCGGCUAACUACGUGCCAGCCGCCGCCGUAA